UUUGCUCUCUCUCUCUCUCUCUCUCUCUCUCUCUCUCUCUGUUCCGCCCCCAUUCCUGUCUCUCCCUCUCUCCCGAUUCUCCUCUUUCCCUCUCUUUCUCUUUUUUCAUCUCCGCUCCUGAUUCUCCUCUUUCACUCUCUCUCUCUCUCCCAAUCUCCAUUUCCCUUUCCUCUCUCCUCUCUCCUCUCCCUCACCUACUCCAUCUCUCUCAUUCACCUCCCUCUCUCUCUCUAUCCAACGCAUCUCCACCAUCUCUUCUAUCUCCCUUACAUCAUCUUUUUACUCGGAUCUCCAUUGCAGCAGCUGCCCGAAGGAACCAUGCACCAUUCGAAAGCCCAUUUUCAAAUUUUUGUGGCAUUUCUUAAAAUUGAAGGAAUUUAAAGCUCCUCUCUGCAGUGAAAAUGAGAAAUUUGGAUUCGUGAAUCUCAUGUCUCAUUAUCUAAGCAGAGAAGCACAACAUAUUGAAUGAAGUAAGACCCAGCUACUCUAACAUAUGAAAUCAUCAUUCCUUAUGAUAGCUUGGCAUUGACUCAUGAAGGUGAUCUCCUAGUUUCAUGUUUCUUGUAUUUAAUUGAAAUGUACACUAGCGGAAACAAAAUCUAGUGAGUGAAAAUGCAAUUUUUAGUUAUCAAUAGAAAAAGGAAAAUCUUUUAGUUCUAUAUUGCAUUAUUCUUCUGAUAUUGAUAACUUGGUAGAAGUAUUUUGGGAAAUGCUAUGACAUGUUGAGAAUGCUAGUCCCCAGCUCCUUCGGCAGCUCUCUCUGUUGUUGUUGCUCUCCUGCCUUCACUGUAGUAAGUUUUCCCUGCAUUCAAAGCAAUGACCUUGUUAUAGUUACAGCAUGAAGCUUUGAGCCCAGUGCAUGAAUGAUAAGGAUGCUGGAAAGGCCUAGAUUGGCUGAAGUUUUUGUUUUAUUGGUUGGGUUCUACUUGGGUGUCGGUGGGUAUCUGUGAUCGCCUAUGUUUCUUAUUUCUAAUCGGUUGUUUCGUAGGUCUUAGCUUUCUCUUCAAGUGUCCUAGUUGGCUCGCUUAAGGAUCAUAUGAUGUUUUUAGGGAUUCUGUGGUGGAUGUGUUCUUUCUCAGGGUCUUGGGGUGUUUAAAUAUUUUCACAGCUUGUAGAUUUUUGUGGUUGGUUCAGCAUGGUUGUAUGGCUGGGGAGGCAAGUAGCCAUGCAUGCAAUUAAUAUAUAUGAAAAGACAACUAUGGCUAUACUUCAAUCUUGAAAUCUGAUUCACUAGUCUUAGAAUGUAUUUACAUAAUUUCCAGAACAAUGCCUUUUGGAAAUCUAAACAUCCAGGUCAGUGAGUUUUCCUCAGAUCUGAGAUCUUUUUCCUGCAAUAUCUGUAUUUUCUGCCCUUCUACUUUGAUUUUCCUUGAUUUCUUGUCAGAUCUAAGGUUCUUAUGUGAUAUAUGGUGUAGAUAUCUUGAUAAAUGAAUGAUAUCUUUUUAUAGAUCGUUGAUAAAAUGCUCUUUACCCUAUCCAUUGUCUUCCUACAGGGAUGUUAACACUGUUAAUGAUGUUAUGGAAUUUGUACUUCAAAACUUCAUAGAGAUGAAUAAACUUCGGGUCCGAAUGCAUCAUCAGGUUAGUUGAAAUUUUAGAGAACUAUCGCUAUUGUGUUUGGGCACAAAAAGUAAGUGCAUGCCAUAAAUGAAAAAUUGGAGCAUGGGGGUUUGUGAAGGGAAGAUGCAGUGCAGGUUGAAUUUCAUGCUAUUCUACAUGUUUGACAAAAUUCCUCAACCAGACUCUGUUUCUCACCAUUGAAUCGUACCAGCUCCAAGUUGAUUUCCCCAAGCAUUACCUCAUGGAAGCACCUCAAGGCCCAGAAGAAGCUGUCGGCGAUCGGAUCGUGGGAGAACACAAAGAAGGCUUCUGUGGAAGCUCAGCUAAAAAAGAUAAGAGGUAAGAAAGUUAUGCUUUUUCA